rnacentral:rRNA from 1 species
GACGAACGCUGGCGGCGUGCUUAACACAUGCAAGUCGAGCGGUAAGGCCCUUUCGGGGUACACGAGCGGCGAACGGGUGAGUAACACGUGGGUGACCUGCCCUCAGCUCUGGGAUAAGCCUGGGAAACCGGGUCUAAUACUGGAUAUGACUCCAUGACGCAUGUUGUGGGGUGGAAAGCCUUGUGCGGCUGAGGAUGGGCCCGCGCCUAUCAGCUUGUUGGUGGGGUGAGGCCUACCAAGGCGACGACGGGUAGCCGGCCUGAGAGGGCGACCGGCCACACUGGGACUGAGACACGGCCCAGACUCCUACGGGAGGCAGCAGUGGGGAAUCUUGCGCAAUGGGCGAAAGCCUGACGCAGCGACGCCGCGUGAGGGAUGACGGCCUC